rnacentral:rRNA from 1 species
UACAGAGGUCUCAAGCGUUGUUCGGAUUCAUUGGGCGUAAAGGGUGCGUAGGUGGCGCUGUAAGUCGGGUGUGAAAUUCGGAGCUUAACUCCGAAACUGCAUUCGAUACUGCGGUGCUUGAGGACUGGAGAGGAGACUGGAAUUCAUGGUGUAGCAGUGAAAUGCGUAGAGAUCAUGAGGAAGACCAGUGGCGAAGGCGGGUCUCUGGACAGUUCCUGACACUGAG